GAAUGGCAAAUUUUUCGAAAAGUAAUCAUUGCUUCACACUUGUGUGACGCAGGUAUGAAAUUGCACUGGUAGAUGCUCAAAUUAAUGGAAACGAGUUUUGAGAACAGUCCUGUUAUUGACUCAAUAGAAAAUCCCUCACCUGCAAGACCUCAUUUCAAAGUGAUUAUUAAGCUUGAAAUGAUACAAUUGACGCUGAAUAAAGUAAAUAAGUUACGUAAAAUAUAGUACGCGUAAAUAAAAACAGAUGAAAUCCUAGCUGCGUAUUAUAGAGGACACAUUAUAUGAUAAUACAGUACAAAUAUGGAAAACGUGCCUUUAUUCAGCUGGGAAAGGUCGUGUAUUUAAUUGACACCAAUUUAAUUGAAUUGUGACCCAAGCUGAUCGACGAUUCGACCUGUUUUAGGCCAUAGGGCUAAGCACUUCGCAAAAAAGGUUAAAUUGCGCUAAUGAGCAGGCAAGCUGAAAUUUCUGGGUCAAAUGCAUGUAACUAUGAUGAAAUUGCGUAAAACCGAGCCUCUAAAAUGUCAUAGGCAUUUCAGACUAAAUAUUUAUAUGACACACAAACUCGAUGGAAAAUUACUUGACCAUUUCCAAUUAAAUGUUGAUUGCAGCAUCUCAAAACGAAUUUUGCAAAAAAGGGAAAAUUCCACUCAAGACGAUGGUUUCAUAACCAGGAUCCGCUUCUUCACUUGAAAUCCACUAAUUUCAACAUUCCAUUUAUUUUUCUAUAACCAACGCUAAUUUGUAAUUUACGUUAUUUGUUACUAACAAGAACUUCACCGUCAUUUAACUAAAUAACCAGUUAAUCUGUAGUGAUGUGGAAUUUAUACAAAUAAAGAUCUAUUGUGAAUUUACCCAGUAAACUCUUUUAAUUUGACUAUUUCGGGGAGCAACAAUAUGAAAACUUGCCCACAAUUUUAUGUAAAAAGUUGCGAAAAAAUUCGGUAGUUGAGUCAUACCAAUAAAAGAGAGAUAUGUGAAUUUAACCUAAGAAUCACUGCAGAUCCAAAUGGAUAAACUAGACAAAAAACGAAAAAUCUAACAACAAAUUAGUGAAAAUAAAUAAGUCCACUGGGAGUAGAAAACGGAUAAUUCUCACGAGCAAAUUUUAUUCAAGUGUGGGAAACAGACAUUACAUUUCCUUUAGCUGGUUAAUAAUUAGAGGGUGGAUAAAAUGAGGGUGCAGAGUCAAGUGCAAACCGCGCGGAAGUAAAGGAGGGGACGAGGAACUGAUAAAACUGUGUGAAAACCGAGACCGAGUUUAUUACGUUUUGAUUCGCCGGGUUGAGUGAGUGUUUCGAAGCGCUUUAACUUGAUCCCAAUCGACGCCAUAUCAAUAAAUUAUUCAUUAAUUAUUUUCGAGAGUAUUAGAAACAGCUUAAAAUGUCAGUGAGAAAGUUUUUUACCGGUGCUGGACAAAACUGCCUAAAAGUAUUCAAAAGUUGGACCAGCAACAUCCAAAAGAAGUACCACAAGAAGAAAUGCCGCCACAAUUCGACCUAUUCGGUGUCCACAUUUGGAAGGGCCAGCAUAUCCACUGAAAUAACUGUGCUCGACUAUGAGAUCACGCCCUGUAUGUGUCACCAAAGCAGCAACGAAAUUAAUGAAAACAAAUUCAACGAAAGUAUAGAACAACGAUGGAUAUGCAAAUAUUAUUAGAAGAAUGUUGUCUCUCGACAUGUGUACAUUUUUGUAAAGUGAUUUUUAUAAUUCCUAAUUUAUGGCUGUGAUGAUGUAUUACUUAAUGGUAAAUAGAUACGUUUUUAUUUUUUUGCAAAUAAAUUAAUUAUACGGA